AAUGCAGAGGUGGGGGACAGAGUGGGUGGGGAGGGGAGCCGCCAUACAGUGGCCAGGACCAGCUUUGCCCAAGUGGUGGCAACCGCAUGACCACAGGAACGAUGGCGUGAGCCCCGUGGCAACCUGGAGGAAGGGAAAUAAUCCAGGAUCCAUUUCGUGUGGUCAUCUUGUCUCCCUGGUCCCCUCCAGCCUUUCCUCAUCUUUUGUGACCUGGUCACUCUGGAAGGGCGCUGGCCAGUUAGUCCACAGGAUGGGCCUCCCCUGGGGCUUUUCUGAUGCUUCCUUAUGAUGGCACUGGCAUCCUGAGGGGGAGGACCACAGAGAGGAGGUGCUCCUCAUCACACCACAUGGGGGUCCAUGCACCAGUGCCACUGCUUUCCAGGGCUCUUCACCUUCAUCACUGGUGGAGGUGGCGUCUGCCAAGAAGCAGAAAGUUGAGGCUUAGAAGGUGCACGGCCCUACCUCUUCCGAGGUGCCCCUGCGGGCUGUCUACAGACCAGGCAGCACAUGCCUGAUAGCAGCUGCAUAAGGAAAAGCAGGAGCCAGCUCGUGCACAGUGGCCUCAAGUGUGCACUGGGCAUGUUCUCUGCCUCACCAUCCCUGUGUGACAGAUGAAGCUUCAAGGACCACAGAGGGCCAAGUGCAGGAGUAAGAGGCUGGCGUGCUGACAGUGGCCAAGGGCAUUGGAGGGAAGGACCUGUCAUCACUGGGCCAAGGAAGGAACUCCAGACUGCCUACUUCCAGAGGGCCUGCUGAGGAAUUUUAGCUUGAACUUGCCUGCCUUGACUAGGGCUUUCUGAGCAGCAGAUGAUUCUGCAAUGGUGUUAGUCCAGGCCUGGUUCUGCAUGACAUUGACCAUACUGUGCACCCUGGGGUCAUUAUGUCUUGGGCUUCAAGGGGCUCCAUGGGCUCCAGGGGGCUCCAUGUGACACUGCACAGAGCUCUCUCUAGGUCACCUGGAUGUGUCUCUUCCUAGGAACCCCAAAGAGCUCUCUCAACAAACACACCCACGAGUUCCAGGAGUGAGGCUGCAGGGAACAGCCUCACUCUCAGAGGGGAUACAGAAUUGUUCCACUGGACAAGGGCUGGGAUCGUCAUAGGAUGCCGUUGGCCUGUGGUUUCCAACAGAGGUGCAGUUCAUUGAACUGUGGUCUACAGUCCAUUCUCUAACUUGGGGACCCUUGAAGAAGUGUGGAAUCAUGACAACAACCCUGUUGGGAGACACUAUUAUUCCCAUCACAUGGAUGAGCACACGGAGGCAAAAGGAAGUUAUAUGAUUGUCUGAGAUCACCCAGUGAAGACUGUGUGGCUGGGAGUUGUCCCCAGUGUUAUCUGCACGCUGCUUCCUUUUGAUGCCUGGCCCUUCUUUAUCAAAAGAAGCAUUGGCAGAAUCUGGGUGUUUAUGGGUCAGCUCAAAAUAAAUUACUUUAUAUGUCA
rnacentral:lncRNA from 1 species